GGUGAACGCUGGCGGUAGGCCUAACACAUGCAAGUCGAACGGCAGCACAGUAAGAGCUUGCUCUUACGGGUGGCGAGUGGCGGACGGGUGAGGAAUACAUCGGAAUCUACUUUUUCGUGGGGGAUAACGUAGGGAAACUUACGCUAAUACCGCAUACGACCUACGGGUGAAAGCAGGGGAUCUUCGGACCUUGCGCGAUUGAAUGAGCCGAUGUCGGAUUAGCUAGUUGGCGGGGUAAGGGCCCACCAAGGCGACGAUCCGUAGCUGGUCUGAGAGGAUGAUCAGCCACACUGGAACUGAGACACGGUCCAGACUCCUACGGGAGGCAGCAGUGGGGAAUAUUCGACAAUGGGCGCAAGCCUGAUCCAGCCAUGCCGCGUGAGUGAAGAAGGCCUUCGGGUUGUAAAGCCCUUUUGUUGGGAAAGAAAAGCAGCAGGUUAAUCCCCCGCUGUUCUGACGGUACCCAAAGAAUAAGCACCGGCUAACUUCGUG
rnacentral:rRNA from 1 species